GGAAUCUUGCGCAAUGGACGGGAGUCCGACGCAGCGACGCCGCGUGGGUGAAGACGGCCUUCGGGCUGUAAAGCCCUUUUCUGGGGGAAGAGAGAGGACGGUACUCCAGGAAUAAGUGUCGGCUAACUACGUGCCAGCAGCCGCGGUAAUACGUAGGACACGAGCGUUAUCCGGAUUUACUGGGCGUAAAGCGCCUGUAGGCGGUUCUUCAAGUCGUUUGUGAAAGCCCUGGGCUCAACCUGGGGAGGCCAAGCGAUACUGGAGGACUUGAGGGUGACAGAGGGGAGUGGAAUUUCCGGUGUAGCGGUAAAAUGCGCAGAUAUCGGGAGGAACACCAGUGGCGAAGGCGGCUCCCUGGGUCACCCCUGACGCUGAGAGGCGAAAGCUAGGGGAGCAAACAG
rnacentral:rRNA from 1 species